CUGUGUGAUGCUUUUGCCGGGGACAGAACAGGAAUAGAGUCUUAGAAUCUAUAAAAGUGGUGGAGAGAAUAUACUCACAUUUCAGCUCAAGUUUGAUGAAGUCUGUAUUCCCCAAAUUCUCAAGAAACACUCCAUCAGGGGCUGAUGUUUUGAAAUAGAAAGAGAUGUCUGCGCUGGUUUCCCCUUGGAACGUGGAGAAGUGAAGUCACAGAUAAAGGAAUAAAGCCAGUUUCCGAACCAGAUGAUGCAGCGGUGAGAAGGAACUGGAGAGGAGGUUGGUCCGCCCUUCCCUUUAUCUCCUUGGUUGGAGUCAGGGGGUGAGCAAGGGCGCAUGUGUGGACCAAUGGACGCUGCUUUCAAAAUUCUCCAGCUUUAGGCUCAUGAAGCAUAUGUGUACCCACAGCGGAAUAUACAUAGGGACCAGCAUUCGAAGAGGGAUGGUCGUUACAUAUUUAACAUUGCCAUUUCACUUGUCAGCACUGGCUGAGUAUUAGUAUAGUUGGUGCUCUGUAUGUUUAAUAGCUAAAGUUACUGGUAAUGCAGCAUAGUCUGACUUCUUGUCAUUUGAGGUGCUUAUGAGACUCCAUGAGAAUUUAAAUUGACUAUAACUGGAAUAGGAUUUUGGUUAAAUACAUUUGGGGAUAUUUUAUGAGAUCAUUUUUUCCCUCUUCCAGUACUUGUCCCUCUUCUUUUUCCAUGUUUUUCUGUCCCUGUGGAGGAUGGAGAAUGAGUGUAUUUUAAAAAGAAGAUAGGUUUAAAACAUUGUAAUGAUUUGGGGGAAAUCA